GGACGAACGCUGGCGGCGUGCUUCAUACAUGCAAGUCGAACGAGAAGUCACCUUCGGGUGAUGGAAAGUGGCGGACGGGUGAGUAAUGUGUAGAGAAUCUGCCCUAGAGAGAGGGACAACAGUUGGAAACGACUGCUAAUACCUCAUAUGCGCGUAGCUGAGAUGCUAUUCGUGAAAACUCCGGUGCUCUGGGAUGAGUCUGCAUCUGAUUAGCUAGUUGGCGGUGUAAUGGACCACCAAGGCGACGAUCAGUAGCUGGUUUGAGAGGAUGAUCAGCCACAAUGGGACUGAGACACGGCCCAUACUCCUACGGGAGGCAGCAGUAGGGAAUUUUGCGCAAUGGGGGAAACCCUGACGCAAGCAACGCCGCGUGAUUGAAUAAGCCCUUCGGGGUGUAAAGAUCUGUCAGUAGGGACGAAACUUGACGGUACCUACAGAGGAAGCAUCGGCUAACUCCGUGCCAGCAGCGGC
rnacentral:rRNA from 1 species